AUUGAACGCUGGCGGCAGGCCUAACACAUGCAAGUCGAACGAGUGGCGGACGGGUGAGUAAUGUCUGGGAAACUGCCUGAUGGAGGGGGAUAACUACUGGAAACGGUCGCUAAUACCGCAUACCAUCGGAUGUGCCCAGAUGGGAUUAGCUAGUAGGGGGGGUAAAGGCUCACCUAGGCGACGAUCACUAGCUGGUCUGAGAGGAUGACCAGCCACGCGGGAACUAAGACACGGUCCAGACUCCUACGGGGGGCAGCAGGGGGGAAUAUUGCACAAUGGGUGCAAGCCUGAGGCAGCCAUGCCGCGUGUAUGAAGAAGGCCUUGGGGUUGUAAAGUACUUUCAGCGGGGAGGCGUUACCCGAAGAAGAAGCCCCGGCUAACUCCGUGCCAGCAGCCGCGGUAAUUC
rnacentral:rRNA from 1 species